CAGAGCUUAAGGAUACAGAAGCAAAGUAAUUCUACCAACCAGAAUAAAGUGCUUAAAGUAUGAAGAAGAUCCGAGCAGUACCAGUAGCUCAGAAGGUGGCUGCUGUGUCACUUUGGUCAGCAGGAUUGGAAGAGAGCCAUCAUCUGCUUCCUCAAUGGUCUGCCAGCCCCUGUGUUUGGAAAGGCAAAUCUGAAAGGAAGCUCUUGAGCACUCUACUGUGCGAGUUCCCCAACUGAUGGCUGUGUUUCUGCUCCUCAUUCUACACGUUUUCAAAUCAUUUUGAUGCUGGGAAUAAAUCUGAGUGCAUAACAAUCAUGUUCAGCAUAUGAUAACCAGAGACAAUUGUAUAUAUUCAAGCAGCCACAUGGAAAAUAAAUGAGCUGAUGGAAGGACAGAAAGAGCGCAAGAUGACCCAGAGACCACAGUUACCAUGUCCACAGUAAGACCAAAUAACUCUUCCAUUUCCAUAUAAUUACACUUUUU